GAUGAACGCUGGCGGCGUGCCUAAUACAUGCCAGUAGAACGCUGAAGGAAGGAGCUUGCUCUUUCCGGAUGAGUUGCGAACGGGUGAGUAACGCGUAGGUAACCUGCCUGGUAGCGGGGGAUAACUAUUGGAAACGAUAGCUAAUACCGCAUAACAGUAGAUGUUGCAUGAUAUCUACUUAAAAGGUGCAAUUGCACCACUACCAGAUGGACCUGCGUUGUAUUAGCUAGUUGGUGAGGUAACGGCUCACCAAGGCGACGAUACAUAGCCGACCUGAGAGGGUGAUCGGCCACACUGGGACUGAGACACGGCCCAGACUCCUACGGGAGGCAGCAGUAGGGAAUCUUCGGCAAUGGACGGAAGUCUGACCGAGCAACGCCGCGUGAGUGAAGAAGGUUUUCGAAUCGUAAAGCUCUGUUGUAAGAGAAGAACGAGUGUGAGAGUGGAAAGUUCACACUGUGACGGUAUCUUACCAGAAAGGGACGGCUAACUACGUG
rnacentral:rRNA from 1 species